AUUGAACGCUGGCGGAAUGCUUUACACAUGCAAGUCGAACGGCAGCACGGACUUCGGUCUGGUGGCGAGUGGCGAACGGGUGAGUAAUGUAUCGGAACGUGCCCAGUCGUGGGGGAUAACGUAGCGAAAAUUACGCUAAUACCGCAUACGAUCUAUGGAUGAAAGCGGGGGAUCGCAAGACCUCGCGCGAGUGGCGCGGCCGAUAUCAGAUUAGGUAGUUGGUGGGGUAAAGGCCCACCAAGCCAACGAUCUGUAGCUGGUCUGAGAGGACGACCAGCCACACUGGAACUGAGACACGGUCCAGACUCCUACGGGAGGCAGCAGUGGGGAAUUUUGGACAAUGGGCGAAAGCCUGAUCCAGCCAUUCCGCGUGCAGGAUGAAGGCCCUCGGGUUGUAAACUGCUUUUGUACAGAACGAAAAGGUUUCUACUAAUACUAGGAGCUCAUGACGGUACUGUAAGAAUAAGCACCGGCUAACUACGUGCCAGCAGCCGCCGUAA
rnacentral:rRNA from 1 species